rnacentral:snRNA from 1 species
GUGCUUGGUUUGGCAGCAUAUAUAAUACAAAUGGAAUGAUUCAGACUAGAUUAGCAUUGUCACUGUUUAAGGCUGAUAUGCAAGUUUGUGAAGAGACUGCCCUUUCC